GUGGGGAAUUUUGGACAAUGGGCGAAAGCCUGAUCCAGCCAUGCCGCGUGCAGGAUGAAGGCCUUCGGGUUGUAGACUGCUUUUGUACGGAACGAAAAGACUCCUCCUAAUAAAGGGGGUCCAUGACGGUACCGUAAGAAUAAGCACCGGCUAACUACGUGCCAGCAGCCGCGGUAAUACGUAGGGUGCAAGCGUUAAUCGGAAUUACUGGGCGUAAAGCGUGCGCAGGCGGUUAUAUAAGACAGAUGUGAAAUCCCCGGGCUCGACCUGGGAACUGCAUUUGUGACUGUAUAGCUAGAGUACGGUAGAGGGGGAUGGAAUUCCGCGUGUAGCAGUGAAAUGCGUAGAUAUGCGGAGGAACACCGAUGGCGAAGGCAAUCCCCUGGACCUGUACUGACGCUCAUGCACGAAAGCGUGGGGAGCAAACAGGAUUAGAAACCCCAGUAGUCC
rnacentral:rRNA from 1 species